UUGUAUAUUUUUUACAGUCAACUUCAGGUGGCUGCGGAUGGCCCACGGAUUCGUCAAAUCCGGCGGAUCCGUGGUGUGACCUGGAACUGGCGCGGUUUCAGUCUUGCGAUUCCGAAUUUAAAAUAGUCAAUAUUCAGAAGAUAGCCUUUGAGGCAGCCUUGAAAGCCAUGGCUGACAUGAAAGUUGAUGCUGAGUUUGAGAAGAAGAUGAUGGCCACAUUAGGGAAGCAACUUAGUGCUUCAAUUCCAUCUUCAUCAAAGGCAAGAGAAGUUUUACCGUCGACG
rnacentral:lncRNA from 1 species